GGCGUGAAUCCAAUGAACCGCAGCUUCACCCCUGUGGUGCUCCCCCGCCAAUCCUUUAAGUUCAUACUUGCGUACGUACUUCCCAGGCGGCAGACUUAACGGCUUCCCUGCGGCACUGCAUUGGCCACAAGCCAAUGCAUCACCGAGUCUGCAUCGUUUACAGCUGGGACUACCCGGGUAUCUAAUCCGGUUUGCUCCCCCAGCUUUCAUCCCUCACCGUCGAACGUGUUCUGGUACACCGCGUUCGCCACAGGUGGUCUUCAAUAGAUCAAAGGAUUUUACCCCUUCCUAUCGAGUACCGUGUACCUCUCCCACUCCCUAGCUGCACAGUAUUUUCGGCGGCCUAUACGUUAAGCGCAUAGAUUUAACCGAAAACUUAUGCAACCGGCUACGGAUGCUUUAGGCCCAAUAAACCUCCUGACCACUCGAGGUGCUGGUUUUACCGCGGCGGCUGACACCAGAACUUGCCCACCCCUUAUUCACCAGUGAUUCUACAACUGACAAAAGACUCCUUUAGCAGGAGACACUCGGAUUAACCUUGUCGUGCUUUCGCACAUUGCAAAGGUUUCUCGCCUGCUGCGCCCAUAG
rnacentral:rRNA from 1 species